rnacentral:rRNA from 1 species
AAGGGCACCACAAGAACGCGUGGAGCAUGUGGCUUAAUUUGACUCAACGCGGGGAAUCUUACCGGGUCCGGACACACUGAGGAUUGACAGACGGUUAUUGACUUAUACUCGCUUAAUGGCUUUAAGCUGUUAAGUGUUUAACACCUUUACACAAAGAUGCUAGUCCUUUCAUGAUCGUUUGAUAGGUGGUGCAUGGCCGUUCUUAGUUCGUGGAGUGAUCUGUCUGCCUAAUUGCGUUUCACUAAGGUCCCAUUCUUCAUACGUAUGAAUAGCGUCUUAACUCACUCUUACCGCUACCUAUUUGUAGUAAGCGCUCAUACUAUUGGGACCGGAAUGCAACGAGCGCGACUGCACCACCUAAUUGCCCCUUAUCUACCAUUAAUUACUUUAUUAACCGCCCUGUACGGGCACCGGGGCCUUACCUUUACUGAAACUAGCUGGACCGCUGCUUUCCUUUAAGCCAGAGGAAGGUUGCGGCAAUAACAGGUCUGUGAUGCCCUCAGAUGUUCCGGGCCGCACACGUGCUACAAUGAUCAGCACAAAGAGUAUUACCUAUCUUCUUAUACCUAACCCAAUAUGUUAAACUUAUUGCGUAAGGGUAUUGUCUUAACGACUUAUCCGCUUUAGCGCUUUAAGAUUAUUGGACGGUUAUGCCUGCCUCGAAAGAGUGUACAGGGCAGCAAGAGUAAUGAUUCCCUCGUUUUUACUACUAAUACCGCGCUUGGUAACAUAUUACACUCGAUUAAGUAGGGUCUUUGCUUUUAAUAGCAAUUGCUAUCCUCACCCUUAGGCUCUAAGGAUAUUACUAUCUCUAAGGUCUACAGGGAGGUGUAUAUGGCGCACUUACUUAUUCACGGUGGGG